UACGUAGGCAGCAAGCGUUGUUCGGAGUUACUGGGCGUAAAGGGUGUGUAGGCGGCUUUUUAAGUUUGGUGUGAAAUCUCCCGGCUUAACUGGGAGGGUGCGCCGAAUACUGAAAGGCUAGAGUGCGGGAGAGGAAAGUGGAAUUCCUGGUGUAGCGGUGAAAUGCGUAGAUAUCGGGAGGAACACCUGCGGUGUAGACAGCUUUCUGGACCACUUCUGACGCUGAGACACGAAAGCGUGGGUAGCAAACAGG
rnacentral:rRNA from 1 species